GAUGAAAGGGAGAAAAAAAAUAAUCAAUAAUUAAAGCAAAGAAACAAUUUAAUGAUUGUUCGUGUUCCCUUUACUUUCUUUUUCUUUUCUUUUCUUUUUUUAAUUUUAUCAAGUGUUG
rnacentral:ribozyme from 1 species